GUAGCUACUAAAUCUCCUACAGUCCUACCUGUGCUUUGCAUUAAAAGUUUACUGCAUAACAUAUACUCCAAGAGUAAUGGGGUUAGGGUAACCUGUGCAACCUGUUGGCCUCAACUACAUGAAAGUAGCACAAUGCAUAGCAAGUACGGAAAACAUUGGCAGGCUCGCAGGCAAUGAUGCUGACUUUUGGUAUUGGAAAGAUUCCGAUUCAUUUCUACAAACGAAUGAUUUCUUGUGUCACAUUUGUUAUUUCCCAUCUGUAUUUCUCUUUGUGUAGAAGAAUUGCAAAGUUACAUUAAAGAAAGUGGAGGGGAAAUUGUUACAGGGAGAGUUUUGAAGCAUGUUAUGACAACAUUGUCUCCAACAGACUUUAAUAUAACAGUAAACGAUCCCGAUCAUGAUUUUUUUCGUGGCAACACUGUCUCUUUGUGUGAUACUGCAGUCGAAGUCCUCGCGUUCCUGAGGCUCUGAAAGUGAAAGCGUCGCUCCUGCAGUACUGCUGAUGUCGGUCAAGUUGAAUUCAACAUGGUGAAACCUAAUGAAAAGGGAAAGAACGCAUUGCAUUUACGAGAGAUAGAAACAGUUGUUACGAAAAGCCGGUUGUUGGAAGGAACGAGAAGCAAUUCUUUCCAACCUGUUCCAGAUGUUUUGUCUUUGAAGUCGUCAUCCCUAACUGAACGCGAAGAAGAACUUUCAAGGGGUUUUCUUAAGUAUAAAAAAGGUAUAUCAUUCUUAAAUGAUGCCCACCUGCAAGUCUAAUGAGAAAUGUUGUGUGUUGUUAUUCUUCUCAUGUUAUUCUUCUCACUGAAUAACCAAGUCCUGAAUAAAACACGAGACUGCUAUUAGUA